rnacentral:piRNA from 2 species
UGAUGCCUAAGAAGAACCGGAUUGCC